GUAGCUGACGCGCAGUUUUUGGCGAAUCUCAAAAAACAGUCUCAGUUCGGAUUGAAGUCUGCAACUCGACUUCAUGAAGUUGGAAUCGCUAGUAAUCGCGAAUCAGCAUGUCGCGGUGAAUACGUUCUCGGGGUUUGUACACACCGCCCGUCAAACCACGAAAGUUGGCAAUACCCAAAGCCGGUGGCCUAACUUCGCAAGAAGAGGGAACCGUCUAAGGUAGGGUCGAUGAUUGGGGUUAAGUCGUAACAAGGUAUCCCUACCGGAAGGUGGGGAUGGAUCACCUCCUUUCUAAGGAAACAAUUAUCAUCUUCAGUUUUGAGAGACUUAAGAAAGUUUUUCAUUGUAACUUGCUUGCAAAUUGUAUUUGCAACAUUUUAAUCUUUUUAAGAUUAAGGGCCUAUAGCUCAGUUGGUUAGAGCACACGCCUGAUAAGCGUGAGGUCGGUGGUUCGAGUCCAUUUAGGCCCACCAAAACCACAAAUA
rnacentral:misc_RNA from 1 species